GAGAGCGCCAAAGGUCUACAAUUUAGCUCAUGUACACAGCAAUGCUCUCUUCACUCUGCUCUGGAAUUUUGAAAGUUACUUAGCUAUUUUUAGUUCUACUUUAAUAAAAUAUGUAACUUUGAAUAACAUACUGUAGCUUCAAUUUUCUAUAUCCUAGCAAUAUUUAUUCCUUGUUUUUAGAGUCAGCAUUGAGACUGUCAGUUUUCUGUAGGUCCCUUUCCUGCCUGCCCUGGCUCCUAAUGUUUCUCGGUUGUGCCGUAACUUACAUAUCAUCAAGAUGCAUGAAAGAAGAGGCCAAAAGUUCAUAUUCUGCUCUAUAAUCAGACUAUGGUUGAGAUUAAACAAAAUUAUCUCUAAGUAAAGCAUGAAAGUGCCUGGAAUAUAAAAGGCAAAGUAGAAUAAAAAGUAGCUGCUCUCCUGCUGAUGGUGAUUUCUAUGGCGAUGGUGACAAGGACGUUGACUCUCUACUUGGGAUUCAAGAAGCCUGGUCACAUCUGGAAAGGUUGACAAUCUAGGAAGGGAAGAGGAGUUCAUGCUUCAUGUGGUACACCUCCAACUCUCCUCUGAAGGAAAGAAGUAAAUUGUUAUAACAAAGAACACCAGCGAAGUCUUGUCAACAUCACUUUCUGAUGGCAAAGCCCGGUAAAGUUGAAUACAUGAAACUACAUUUCCCAAGAUCCUUUGCCAACUGGCUCGCCAUGAGAUUCAGCCAACGGUAGGUACUAACGGAUGAUUUGAAGUCUGGAGAAGGGCCAUCUUAUGGGAGCAUGUUUCCUUCCCUCUCUGCCUCAGCUUGUGUCAUCUGGAGAAGAGCUCGUCUGUCCUCUAGUAUGUCCCAGGGCUUGCUCCAAUCACGUUGAAGUCCAGCUUCCACUAGCUGGCCCUUGCUCCCAGUUUCCAACAACACUGUCUGCUCUUCUGCUUCCUCCAUUUUGGGGUGCAGUAGUUUCCUGUUUGGGUCAUUGCUAAGACCCUAUUUGCUUUCUCUGGUUUUCCAUCACCAUAUGACCAAUUUUCUGCAUUAAAUUUAUUCUGUUCCAAGUAUUUAGAUUGGUUUCUUUCUUCUGACGAGACCCAGGCACAUACAGUGGUCAUUUUUGUCAUAUUCUAUGGCCACCAUAGAGAUUGUGUCAUCGCCACUUUCUUCUAAAUUUAUGAAGCAAGAACGUAUUCCAUAUGUGCACUGAUUAUUUUAAGUCUACCACUUACUGAGCAGCCACUGUGCACCAGGUAUUGUAAUGGAUGCCAUCCAGCCUAUUUCUCUUCAGCCUCACUGCAAGACACAG
rnacentral:lncRNA from 10 species